AAUAAAAUUUAUCCUGAAGAUUAAUCAAUUUCUUACUUUCUGGAGUAAUAUGUGAUAAAUAUAAAUUGGUUUGAAAAAAAAAUUGCUUUUCUUUUUUUUUUAGAGAAAGAAGGAGCAAUUUUAUCUAAAGUAUUAGUGUCUCCAUAAUUGAUCUUGUCUUCUUUUGGCUGAUUUUGCACGUGGAAUGCUGAUCAAGAUUUUUCUAAUACUAGCAUGAAGAAUCCCUCCAAAUUGAAGAAAUAAAGCAGAAUUGAAGAACGAAAUCCGCAGAAAUAAGUUUAUAAGUUUAUAAAUAUAUUUCUAUGAGACUAUUUUCAACUGCGUUACUUAUGUGUUCGCUUGGGUCUUCCUCUUCCACUCUUCAAACCUGCAAAAGAUCAAGAACAGGGCCUGAGGGAAUGGAGUCACCCCUUGAGAGAUAAUCAACCUUGAAUCACUUCUCUCCAACGCUCUCUCCCGAGUGCUGUGUGUUCUGGAGAGGAAAUGACCAUCGGUGAAUGAUGGGUUAGGCCCCUGAAUCACCGAGGAUAAUCAUAUCAGGACCCACGACCUUUGGACAAUGACCUUAUAAUGACAUAUUGCCGAUCUAUAAAUUAUAUCUAUAAAUUAGAGAACCUUCCAACUUUCCAAGUGUUUAAAGACAAAUUUCCAAGAGCCCUGUCUGCCUGUCGACCAGACCACAAACCCAUCCAUCGUUGGGCUUAACAUUAUGGAAACUGAUUUGAAUCAAAACGGUGGAAAAAUUGGAAACUUUCCUCGAGAUUUCUAGAGAUUUGUUAUUUAAAUUUCGAUGGAAACUUAAACGGUAGAUGGACAUUGAUACAGUUUGAAAAAAGAAGAUUUUUUUGUUCUCUUUAAGGACAAAUUUUCUAUCAGAUUUGAAAGAGAGAAUCUUUUCCUUCAAAUUGGAGUUCAUUGAAUCAUUCUUCGAUUAUAAAUAAGUUACCAUUUUAUUUUUUUAAUAAUCUGAAAAACUCUUUUAGAUUUUACACUUACAUGUCGCGUAUACCAGUCGAGAGAUUAGAAUUUUCGUAAUUACAUUUCUGGAAUUCUUAUACUCCCUUCUGAUAUAAUACACGAAUAAUAUACGAAUUUACAAUUUACAAUUUGUAAUAUUGUUCGACUUAUGAAAAUUAUUUUUAAAUUCGUUCGAAUUUAUCCCUCGAAUAUUAAACGGUGAUUUUUUUUUUCAGGUUCGAUCGAAAGAGAGAAAGACUUUCGUAAUACAUCUAUCACUUUCGUACAAGUUCGAUUAUCGAUCCGAAAGAUUACCACGAUCGUUUUCAUUGGCGAAGACAGAGAACUUUAGGAGGACGGUUGAUUGGUUCAGUGGUGGUAUUAGCUUGAACUUCCACGACUGAUCGUGCGAUAGGACCCAAUGUGUAUUCAACCGUAGGAAGAUACGUGGAUUUUGAAUUCGAGGGAUGGCAUUCGCUGAAAUAGAUCGUUCGAGGCGGGAUCUCGAUAGUUUCACCUGUUAAACGUAAUUCGUUCCUCGUCCUCCGAUAAGAUUCAAUAAGAUUCCGAUCCUCUUCGAUUCGUCCAUUUAAUUUCACCAUUAUAAGAACACUUGUACUUGUAACUUUUAAUCUUUGCACGAUUCGUUGCACGAUUUUACGCGUAAUUUAUCUUUCACUCUGAUGAAAAGAAAUAUUUAUAUCGAGCAGAUCGACGAAUCAAUUAUCGCGAAUAGAUUAAAAAAAGAAAAGAAAUUUUUCUUCGUUUCGAAAAUUACUCUUUUCUUUUUUUUUUUUUUCUUUUAAUCAAGAAGAAUAAAAAUACGGAUGCUUAUAAUAUUAAAUUAUCGUGGGACGGAUGAAAAAUCGGGUAAAUCGGAGGAAAGGCUCGAUAUCAGGACGGAAACGUCUCAUUGACAAAUUGUUUUCCUUCGGUAUCGACUGUUCGCUGGCCUGCAGGGAGCAGAAGAGCGGAAGACGGAAAAAUAUUUUUGUUUGCACAUAGUAGAAAUGAAACGAUACGAUUUUAUUUUGACACAAACCGGAGAACCAAUUCUCUCCGCUAUCAAUAAUAAUCUUUUUUGAUCGCAAACAUUCGACUGCAUGACAGGGAGAAAGAGAGAGGGGGGGUGGAAAUGUGCGGAGAGGACGAUGAUCGAAUCGAAUUAAUUUCUUUCCUUUUUUAUUCUUUUAUUUUUUUUUUUUAAUUAUAAACGCGUUAUUUCACGCUUGUUAAACGCGUUAAUAUUUUUUUUUUUUUUUGCUCCCUAUACACGACAUAUUGUCCCUCGCAUUUCUCUCUCUCUCUCUCUCUCUCUCUCUCUCUCUCUCUCUCUCUCUCUCUCUCUCUCUCUCUCUCUCUCUCUCUCUCUCUCUCUCUCUCUCUCGAGAAAUCCCAUUGGAAAUCCUUCAAAUAUUCGAGGAUGGUAAAAUGGUGAAACGCGAAGUAGGAAUCCGUUCUUGGAAGUCGGAAUGCCGAGAAAUCGCUGUUCAGGCUCAGUCGACGUAGAUGUGAAAUUGGAUUGAAGAUCUGUAUGGGAAAUAUCGCGGUUCCAUCCAACGUUCGUACCCAUAUCACCGUGUAAAUUGUUCACGAAAACUUCUUAUUAUCCGAUUCGAUAACAUAACCUAUAACAUAACCUAACUCUACAUAAAAGGACACGUUUCGAAUUAAUUCUUAAGAGAGGUUAUACGUUCGAAUAUUUUACAAUCUCCUACAAUCUUCUUCGUAAUUUUAACUUUUAUCCAAAAAUGCACGAAUGAAAUGAAAACAAAAUCUGGGAAUCGAUCGAUUUCACUUUUCGUCCAAUUCUUCGCAUUCAAUCGGACAAUCGAAGGACGGAAAGCAUUCGUCGAAUGACGUCUCACGACGUCUCGAGUAUCGAAGUGAGGGAGAGAGAGAGGUGGGAAACUGGGGUGACUAGGAGUCGGCGAGGUUAGUUGGAUCGGGUGGAGGGGGAAGAUGGGUAUGAGAGCGCGUGCCACUCUGAUUGUAGCGACCAUACUGGGACGCAUACCUACGAUUCUUGGUUUCAUGCGGCGUGCCUAGACACCCCGAGAAUACUUAUCGGACCGAGCCGAGCUAACCGCCAUCAUUUAAAAGAGUUUACGAUUCGACCGACUUUCCGUGCUAUUUAAUUCUCGAUUAAAUGUAAGUCUCGAAUCUGAUUUCUCCGGAUAUAUUCAUUAGCUUUUCGAAUUUGUCGAUAGAUUUAUUUGGAUAUUUGAUUUCUUUUUUUCCUUUUUCAAGCAGGAGAAUGAAAAUAAAGUGAAAUACAUUUUUAAAGUAAUUUAUACGAUCUUUUCAAACAAAAAGAAAAAUUCAAGAAAGAAAAUUGUUGUUAAGAAAGAAAUAUCUAACCGUGUUUAAAAUUUAGACAAGUCGCGUAUCGAGACGCGGUGAAGAUCGUGUUACCAUCUGAAAAAAAUGUAUCGAUCGAGCAGAGUUCGUUUAUUACGCUUGUUUCUUUUUUCUUUCCUUUUAUUAUUUUUUCGACGAGAUUCACAGCGAGUGUAAAAUGGAAUAUGCGAAAUGUAUGAAUAUAUAUUUCGUCUCUUCUCCGUGGUAUAAUUUGGUACGCGAGUAAAAGGCUCGGUUCAAAUAACAUUAACCUCUCCGACUCUCGGUGCGUGGAGAUGCGGGCACAAAGAAAUAUUUUACACGCGUACAUUACAGCGGUGGAGGGGGAGAAAAAAU